rnacentral:tRNA from 1 species
GCUUUGAUGGGGUAGUGGUAACCUGGAUCGUUGCCAGUGAACAACAGUUCUCUGCCACCUUCGAUCCGCCGGGGGUUCGAUUCCCUCUCAAAGCA